UACGUAGGGGGCGAGCGUUGUCCGGAUUUAUUGGGCGUAAAGAGCGUGUAGGCGGCCAGGUAGGUCCGUUGUGAAAACUCGAGGCUCAACCUCGAGACGUCGGCGGAAACCCUCUGGCUAGAGUCCGGAAGAGGAGUGUGGAAUUCCUGGUGUAGCGGUGAAAUGCGCAGAUAUCAGGAGGAACACCAAUGGCGAAGGCAGCACUCUGGGACGUGACUGACGCUGAGACGCGAAAGCGUGGGGGAGCAAACAGG
rnacentral:rRNA from 1 species